GACGAACGCUGGCGGCGUGCCUAACACAUGCAAGUCGAACGGAAAGGUCAUGAUUUUGUGGGGUGCUCGUGAGGCGAACGGGUGAGUAAAACGUGUGUAAACCGCACUUGUCUUAGGGAUAAAUUCAGGGAACUGGGGAUAAUACAGGGUAGAAGCUACUGAUGCAUGUGGGGGGUUGGAAAGAUUCGGCGGUUGGGGAUGGACUAGCGGCUUCUCAGCUUGUUGGUGGAGUAGGGGCUUACAAAGGCUUCGAAGGGUAGCCGGCCUGAGAGGUGGAACGGCCACAUGGGGACUGAGAUACGGCGCAGAAGCGUACGGGAGGCAGCAGGGGGGAAUAUGGCAGAAUGGGCGGAAGCCUGAGGCAGCGACGCCGCGUGCGGGAUGACGUCUUUUGGGUGGUAAACCGCUUUCGCCGGUGACGAAGCGGGAGUGACGGUAAUGGGUAAAGAAGCACCGGCUAACUACGUG
rnacentral:rRNA from 1 species